rnacentral:rRNA from 1 species
AGCCAUGCAUGUCUAAGUACAAAUUGUGGUAAAAUGAAACUGCGAAUGGCUCAUUAAAUCAGCUACGGUUAACUGGGUACCCACAGUUACUUGGAUAACUGUGGUAAUUCUAGAGCUAAUACAUGCAACUAUGCCCGCGCCUCACGGCAAGGGUGCUCUUAUUAGAUCAAAACCAACCUGGCUUCGGCUAGCAGUUUUGAUGACUCUGGAUAAUUGGGUGAUCGCAUGACUUAACGUCGGCGACUCGCCUUUCAAAAGUCUGCCCUAUCAACUAUAGAUGGUAUAUAACCUGUGUACCAUGGUGUUCACGGGUAACGGGGAAUCAGGGUUCGAUUCCGGAGAGGGAGCCUGAGAAACAGCUACCACAUCCAAGGAAGGCAGCAGGCGCGCAAAUUACCCACUCUCAAAACGAGGAGGUAGUGACAAAAAAUAACGAUGCGGGACUCAAUCGAGGCCCCGUAAUCGGAAUGAGUACACUUUAAAUCCUUUAACGAGGAUCAAUUGGAGGGCAAGUCUGGUGCCAGCAGCCGCGGUAAUUCCAGCUCCAAUAGCGUAUAUUAAAGUUGUUGCAGUUAAAAAGCUCGUAGUUGGAUCUAAGGAUUUGGGCUAACGGUUUACCUUAUGGUGAUACUGUUGGACCUGCCUAUAAAUGUCGUGGAGGCUAUUAGUGUUCUUAAUUGAGUGCUUUUAGUGCCCGACGCUAUUACUUUGAGAAAAUUAGAGUGCUUAAAGCAGGCAUAAUGCCUGUAUACUGUUGCAUGGAAUAAUAAAAUAAGAGUUUACUUUUAUUUUGUUGGUAUUCGGAAGUGAACUAAUGAUCAAAAGGG